rnacentral:rRNA from 2 species
UUAGUAUUUGGAUCUUGUCUCAGGACGAACGCUGGCGGCGUGCCUAAUACAUGCAAGUUGAGCGAUGAAGAUUGGUGCUUGCACCAAUUUGAAGAGCAGCGAACGGGUGAGUAACGCGUGGGGAAUCUGCCUUUGAGCGGGGGACAACAUUUGGAAACGAAUGCUAAUACCGCAUAACAACUUUAAACAUAAGUUUUAAGUUUGAAAGAUGCAAUUGCAUCACUCAAAGAUGAUCCCGCGUUGUAUUAGCUAGUUGGUGAGGUAAAGGCUCACCAAGGCGAUGAUACAUAGCCGACCUGAGAGGGUGAUCGGCCACAUUGGGACUGAGACACGGCCCAAACUCCUACGGGAGGCAGCAGUAGGGAAUCUUCGGCAAUGGACGAAAGUCUGACCGAGCAACGCCGCGUGAGUGAAGAAGGUUUUCGGAUCGUAAAACUCUGUUGGUAGAGAAGAACGUUGGUGAGAGUGGAAAGCUCAUCAAGUGACGGUAACUACCCAGAAAGGGACGGCUAACUACGUGCCAGCAGCCGCGGUAAUACGUAGGUCCCGAGCGUUGUCCGGAUUUAUUGGGCGUAAAGCGAGCGCAGGUGGUUUAUUAAGUCUGGUGUAAAAGGCAGUGGCUCAACCAUUGUAUGCAUUGGAAACUGGUAGACUUGAGUGCAGAGAGAGAGAUUAC